CAUUUUUGAAAAUCGGAAGGUCCGGGGCCAAGUGUGGUUGCAGCUGCGAUGGCAACCUUUGCCGUGGAACCCCAGGCGCCCUCGUUGGGAUCUGAACCAAUGAUGCUAGGUUCACCCACAUCUCCAAAACCAGGGGUUAAUGCCCAGUUCUUACCUGGAUUUUUAAUGGGAGAUUUGCCAGCUCCAGUGACUCCACAACCUCGAUCUGUCAGUGGCCCUUCAGUGGGAGUAAUGGAAAUGAGAUCACCUUUACUUGCAGGUGGAUCACCACCACAACCAGUUGUGCCCGCUCAUAAAGAUAAAAGUGGAGCCCCACCAGUUAGAAGUAUAUAUGAUGAUAUUUCCAGUCCAGGACUUGGAUCAACACCUUUAACUUCAAGAAGACAGCCAAACAUUUCAGUAAUGCAGAGUCCUCUUGUUGGAGUUAUGACGACUACUCCUACUCCUGGAACAGGGCAAAGUAUGUUUAGUCCAGCAAACAUUGGUCAGCCACGAAAGACAACAUUAUCUCCUGCACAGUUGGAUCCAUUUUAUACUCAAGGAGAUUCUCUGACUUCUGAAGAUCACCUCGAUGACACUUGGGUAACUGUGUUCGGGUUUCCUCAAGCAUCUGCUUCCUAUAUAUUAUUACAAUUUGCACAGUAUGGGAAUAUCUUAAAACAUGUGAUGUCUAACACAGGAAAUUGGAUGCAUAUUCGUUAUCAAUCUAAACUGCAGGCUCGGAAAGCCUUAAGCAAAGAUGGAAGGAUUUUUGGAGAGUCCAUCAUGAUUGGUGUAAAACCAUGUAUAGAUAAAAGUGUUAUGGAAAACCAUGACAGGUGUGCUUUGUCAUCUCCACCUCUAGCCUUUACACCACCAAUCAAAACUGUAGGCACACCAACCCAGCCUGGAAGUGCUCCUAGGAUUUCUACCAUGAGACCUCUUGCUACAGCAUACAAAGCUUCUACUAGUGACUAUCAGGUUAUUUCUGACAGACAGACGCCAAAAAAAGAUGAAAGUCUUGUAUCCAAAGCAAUGGAGUACAUGUUCGGCUGGUAGUAUAGUAAGAGCUAAGAAUCACCUACCACGGAGGAGGCUGCUACACUAAAACAGAGUUAGCCCAGUACUGCCAGCUUGCCUUUGUUUGCAGGAAUUCAGGAAACAUGUUUUCCUUGAGUGCUUCCUGAGAAAUGGACCACAGAAUGUGCUCAGAUGAGCUAAGUAACUGGAAAGCUGUUGACACAAAGUCUUUGGUGAGCAUUAAAUUUGACAUCACAUCAUGACCAAAGUGCUGACCAGGUUCAUUGCUUGAAGCUUAAUCCGCUGGGUGGAUUUCCCCUCAUUACUUUCAAGUCCACUCUGUGUCUAAUAUGGCAUCAGUCAGUGUGGUUGGCCUAUAGCAAGCUGAUCCUUCUGUGAAUAAAGCCUGGAUUUCCUUUCCCCUAUUGGCUGAUGGUAGAGAACUCCAAUUAAGCCAUAGAUUGUGAAAGGGAGAGGUGUCAGUACCUUGGAGGUAAGUGAUUUAGAGUUCUGGGCCACUUUUUCUUGAAACUUGGGAGCCUGUGGACCUGCUUGGGAGCCAUCCUGAAUGUACCAUGGAUUAUUACCAUGCUGGCCAGGCUGGUGGCUUGGUGAAUCUGACAGUACUGAGCUUUUGUGAUGGGCAGCUUUGGUGACAUGGUUGAUAUACUAUGUAACUGAUUAGUUACUAAGUCACUUGGUGUGGUACCCUCUCUCACUGUGGCCCCACUAAAACUUAGGAAUAGGUUAAAGCAUUGUCCCCAUGUAUUUUGUGUUGUCUCAGAAAUCCAGAAGGCUGCCGAGUGCUGUAGCUUUUUUAGUGGUAGUAGGAGCAAGAUACAAUAAUUUAUUCUUUGGAGAGAGAUGUCUCAGCAUGCCCCAGUGGUAGAACUUCAUAACUUCACCAAUGUAGUAAAACUGAGUUUUUGUGCUUUACCUCCUACCAACUGGCAUACAUUUGUCUUUAGAGGAUGUCUUGAGUAUUUGCCACUUACCUUCUUGCAGGUUUAGUGAACAUGAUGCCAUCAAUGCACACUAUUUGAAUAAUCAAGAGUUCUCUGACUGGAAGACAGAUUUGACCACUGUUAGACAGGGGUGGGCCAGGGCUCCAUUUAUCACCAGACCUUAUGGCCUCAUGCUAACAGGAACCAUGAGAACAUCUGGGUUCAUCAGUGUCACCCUAUGACCUUGUAUUAGCCCCUAAAAUCUCUGGAUAUUUCUCUUUGGUGCACUUUGAAAAAUGAAGACUCUGGAGAAUUGCUACUGUAUAUACUUACUAUGGCAUUGAAAAUUCCUUUCUCAGUUGGAACUUGCCUCCCAUUUCAUUUGGGUCUAACAGUUGAAUCCUAUCUGUACACUGGGCUGUGGGGUGGCUGACCUCAGUCUUCUGCAUAUCUGGUCUUGAUCUUUUUAGAUUGUAUGUAAAACAAAACCUCUUUUGGCUUCUUUUCCCUUUCUCCUUUUUAAGAAACAUUUAGUUGCCCAAGAAGACAUAAAUACAGAACAUUAAAAUACACUUUAAUGAAUUAUAAGGUGAAUAAUCUUGUAACUACCACUCAUCAAGAAACAGAAUCUUAACCGGCAAUGUCCAUAUGCCCCAUUCCAACUUCUAUCCUCUUCUUCCCCCACAAAAUUAAACACUACUAUAAUUGUAUUUUUUGUAGGUCCAGGUAGUAGGCUUUAAAGGAGUUGGGAUUUCUACCUGAUGUAGAAAGCUGGUGAAAGUUAAAAUUCUUAAUGAGGUGGUAACAUUUUUGAAUGUUAAUGAAGCAAAAGUAUAGCUGUUGUAACUCCAAAAUCCAGUUUUGGAAAUUAACUGGUUAGUAAAUAAGUUGGAUGUAUAUUAUUUUAACUUACAAUUUUUUUACAUUUUAUUUUUACUUUUUUAAAAUUUACAUCCAAAUUAGCAUGUAAUGCAACAAUAAUUUCAGGAGUAGAUUUUUUAGUGCCCCUUACCCAUUUAGCCCAUCCCCCUCCCACAACUCCUCUAGUAACCCUCAGUUCUCCAUAUUUAUGAGUCUCUUCUGUUUUGUUCCCCUCCCUGUUUUUAUAUUAUUUUUGUUUCCCUUCCCUUAUGUUAAUCUGUUUUGUCUCUUAAAGUCCUCAUAUGAGUGAAGUCAUGUGAUUUUUGUCUUUCUCCAACUGACUAAUUUCACUUAGCAUAAUACCCUCCAGUUCCAUCCACGUAGUUGCAAAUGGCAAGAUUUCAUUCUUUUUGAUU